GGAUAACCUGCCCUUGGGUCCGGCAUAACCCNGGGAAACUGGGGAUAAUUCCGGAUAACGCAUAAUGUGCUGGAAUGCUUUAUGCGUAAAAUGGAUUCGUCUGCCCAAGGAUGGGUCUGCGGCCUAUCAGGUAGUAGUGGGUGUAAUGUACCUACUAGCCGACAACGGGUACGGGUUGUGAGAGCAAGAGCCCGGAGAUGGAUUCUGAGACAUGAAUCCAGGCCCUACGGGGCGCAGCAGGCGCGAAAACUUUACAAUGCGGGAAACCGUGAUAAGGGGACACCGAGUGCCAGCAUCAUAUGCUGGCUGUCCGGGUGUGUAAAAUACACCCGUCAGCAAGGGCCGGGCAAGACCGGUGCCAGCCGCCGCGGUAACACCGGCGGCCCGAGUGGUGAUCGUGAUUAUUGGGUCUAAAGGGUCCGUAGCCGGUUUGGUCAGUCCUCCGGGAAAUCUGAUAGCUCAACUAUUAGGCUUUCGGGGGAUACUGCCAGACUUGGAACCGGGAGAGGUAAGAGGUACUACAGGGGUAGGAGUGAAAUCUUGUAAUCCCUGUGGGACCACCUGUGGCGAAGGCGGCACUCUGGGCCUGUACUGACGCUGAGACGCGAAAGCGUGGGGAGCGAACGGGAUUAGAUACCCCGGUAGUCCACGCCGUAAACGAUGGAUGCUCGGUGUCGGGGGUAUCGACCCCCUCGGCGCCCAAGGUAACCCGGUAAGCAUCCCGCCUGGGGAGUACGGCCGCAAGGUUAAACUCAA
rnacentral:rRNA from 1 species